GCUUAUAACUAUUCGAUUGCUUGGAGUGUCAUGUGUUUAUUGUGAUGUCUUCAUAAGUUGUGUGUUACAUGAAAGUUUUAGUAUGAUUGAUGCUAGCCUUGCUAGGUUCUUCUCUGUAUUUGUGUGGCCUAGCUCAGAUUUAUCUAUCUAUACCUAAAAUUGCAGACAGAUGUGGCUGAUGUGGCUUCAACUGCAAUGAGUAGGCCAAUGCUUGGAAGAAGCCACUGGAUUGGCUUUUAGGUUUGUGAUAGAUCAAAGAUGUCUGCACUUCAGAAGGAAGUGGCACAAUAUGAUGAUUUCAUUUUUCUGGAUAUUGAAGAGAAGUACAGUAAGCUCCCAUAAAAAACGUUGGCGUUCUUCAAAGCUGCUUAUGCACUUUUUGAAGCUGACUUUUGUGUCAAAGCUGAUGAUGACAUAUAUUUAAGGCCAGGUCUUUGUAAUCCAGAAAAGAGAAUGUUGGAACUCCAUCAAACGGAAAGUUGUACUCAGAGUCCAACUGUGGACUCUGGUGAAUAGUAUUUGUCCGUAUAUUUAUGAAGCGAAGGUGAAUUGCCUGCUCUUGUUAUGUUUUACUGCCGUGAGCAGCUACCAUUGCAAUCCUUUUCUAUCCAUUGAUCUUUCUCUUUUUGAUUCAUAUUUCUUCAUGUCUGAAGACACUUUGAUGUAUUUUCUUUUCUUUUUCUCUUUUUUAUUUCUAGUCAAA